CAGUAACGGCGAGUGAAGCGGCAACAGCUCAAAUUUGAAAUCUGGCUCCUUCGGGGUCCGAGUUGUAAUUUGUAGAGAGUGCUUCGGGCGAGACCUCGGUCUAAGUCCAUUGGAACAUGGUGUCAUAGAGGGUGAGAAUCCCGUAUGCGACCGUGGCUCGAGCCCAUGUGAAGCCUCUUCGACGAGUCGAGUUGUUUGGGAAUGCAGCUCAAAACGGGUGGUAAAUUUCAUCUAAAGCUAAAUACUGGCUGGAGACCGAUAGCGCACAAGUAGAGUGAUCGAAAGAUGAAAAGCACUUUGGAAAGAGAGUCAAACAGUACGUGAAAUUGUUGAAAGGGAAGCGCUUGCAACCAGACCUGCCCGUAGGCGAUCAGCCGCUGUUCUCAGCGGUGCACUCGCUCUGCGAUCAGGCCAGCAUCGGUUUCGGCGGUCGGAUAAAGGCCUUGGGAAUGUAGCUCCCCUUCGGGGGAGUCUUAUAGCCCUCGGUGCAAUGCGGCCAGCCGGGACCGAGGACCGCGCUUCGGCUAGGAUGCUGGCGUAAUGGUUGUAAGCGACCCGUCUUGAAACACGGACCAAGGAGUCUAACAUCUAUGCGAGUGUUUGGGUGUCAAACCCAUACGCGGAAUGAAAGUAAACGGAGGUGAGAACCCUUAAGGGCGCAUCAUCGACCGAUCCAGAUGUCUUCGGAUGGAUUUGAGUAUGAGCAUAGCUGUUGGGACCCGAAAGAUGGUGAACUAUGCCUGAAUAGGGUGAAGCCAGAGGAAACUCUGGUGGAGGCUCGCAGCGGUUCUGACGUGCAAAUCGAUCGUCAAAUUUGGGUAUAGGGGCGAAAGACUAAUC
rnacentral:rRNA from 1 species